rnacentral:lncRNA from 1 species
UGUUUCUUGAACCGAAUUCCUCAUUAAGAGAGCAGACCUUCAGUCAGUUUUCAAGACUUCAGGAUGAACUAGCAGAUAGAUCUUCAUUGAAAGCAAACAAAUCCCUUUUCGACUUUGAUCUUUGACUUUCAAAACCGAGCACCAGCCGCAGAUCGAAAAACGCCUUCGGAGUUGGCCUUCCAGACCCUUGCUGCUGGGAGUGGGGCGUGGGAUCUCAGCAGCUGUGUUGACAAACAUGGCCCAACAAGACGGCCACCAUCACAGGAUGAAUCUGAAGGACUUAAUUGCCUAGCUCUGCAGUUUCCUCUGAAACCUCUUUUCCGUUUGUGGAUGGACUUGAACUCGACAGACCAUGGAGCGUCAUUGAGCAUGCCCACUUUCAUAGCAGUCUGAGCUUCAUAGGCCUUGAGCUUAUAGCAUCCCUUUAUGGUGGACAUGGCGGAAAGUGUUGGACAUGCCAUUUCAGACUGAGCUCUGACCUCCAGACUGACGGCUGUGGUCUUCAUCACAUUCCAGCAGGAGAUGUGGGCUCACAUCAGGCUGUCACACUGAACCCUCUGUGCUUAGAGCUUUAUAUCCAGGAGCAUGACAGCAAGGACUGUAUUGUCAUUUUGCUCCAUACUCCUGCACUGAGAACAAGAAUCUCAAGAAGUGAUGAAGUCUGUGACCCAGCAAUUCCACUCCUAGGGGCACUUGGGAGAGAACCAAGAACAUAUAUAUAUAUAAACGUGAUAGCGGCACUAUUCAUGACAGCCAAAAAGGGGAAACAAUCCAAAUGUUCAUCAGCUGAUGGCUGGAUGAACAAAUGUGGUAUGUCCGUACACUGGAAUAUUAUUAAGCUCAAAAGGAAAUAAAGUAAUGAUACAUGGCAUAAGAUGGAUGAACCUUGGAAACAUUAUGCUAAGUGGAAAAAGCCACAUACAAAAGGCCAUAUACAAUGCGAUUCCAUUCUGAUGAAAUAUAUAAAAUAAACAAACCCAUAGAGAAUGAAAGUAGAUUUGUGGUUGCAGGAGGCUAGGGGCUGGAAUAAUGGGGCAUGUGUGUGUGCAUGAAUUUGCUUCUGUCAUGUCUGACUCUUUGCAACUCUCUGGACCAUAGUCCACCAGGCUCCUCUGUCCAUGGGAUUCUCUAGGCAAGAAUACCAGAGAGGGUUGCCAUUUUCUCUUCCAGGGCAUCUUUCCCACCCAGGGAUCAAACUUGUGUCUCUUGUGUCUCCUUCAUUGUCAAGUGCGUUCUUUACUACUAGUGCCACCUGGGAAGCCCAGAAUAAUGGGGAGUGACUGCUAAUGGGUAUGGGAUUUCUUUUUUGGGUGAUCAAAAUGUUCUGGAAUUAGAUAGUUGUGAUGGUUACCCAACAUUGUGAAUAUACUAAAAUGCACUGAAUUAUGCACUUCAAAAUGGUGACUUUUAUCUCAAUAAAAAAUGC